rnacentral:lncRNA from 1 species
GCGGGGGGAUCGGGUAGCUCUGGCGGAGGCUGCGCCCCCGGCGUGCUCGGGCAGAGAAGAACGGAGGCCCGCUGAGGAUGGGAACUCAGGCUCCGGGUCUGGGACACAAUAAUCCGGCCGAAGGCGAGCGGCCACACUGGACUAGGAAACGAGGCGCCGGGCUGUAAGGUGGGCCCGCGCCUUUUCUCCUGCCUGGCGCUGAUUCCCGCAUUUUUCGCUCGCGCCCUGCGCUGCGCGCUGCCUGUGCGCCUCCCUGGGCGCGCGGGCGGGAGAGUCGGGCGAGCGCCAAGACGGCUGGGCCCGACUCCCACUGGCGCCCCGGCUCCACCUGGCGCUGGGGCUCCGGUCCGCAGUGGCUCCGGCAGGAGGGAGAGAACGAGGAGGGAGGCUUGGAAACGCCGGGAGUAGCGGUGAGGCCGACGCCGGGGAAGCGAAUCGAUACUGCGUUACUGGACGCCCGUGGGCCUCAUGAGGAUGGUCGAUUCCCUCAUUCGUUAUUCACGAUUUAUUAGGGAUGGCGGCCGCGUCUGUCCCUCCAGAGAGCUCGAUUAUCCAUCCGGCCAGCAGCGCCAUUAAGCGCACUGACGGUGGGAGGCUCGAGUUAGAAAUUAGGAUAGGAAUCUUCGCCCAGUUUUGGAGCGCCUGCCUCCUCUUCCCUCGUUGCUCGCAGCCAAGGCAGCCGCGAAGCUGGGGGCCUCGGGUGAAUGCUUUCGCCCUCUGGCCGGCGACCAGGAGACCUGCGCACACUGGCCGCCGAGUGACCCCAGCUCGAGCCUGCAGCCACACCAGCGGGACGGGGGCGGGGAGGAAGAGGAAGGGCGGAGAGACUUCCUUCCAGAGGGAGUGGUCCGAGAACCGGCGGGAGAAGGGCCAAGGGAAGAUCCGGUCACCUGCUCCGGAGCCUGCAGGCGGAGAGGCGAGUAGUUCACCGGCCCCGGAGGAAAGGGGACCCUCCCACUGUUCCCAGGCAAAUGUGUCGCCGGCAUCCUGCACUCUGCCGGGGAAGACGCGCAUCCACUCGCUCUGCAGGGAGGGGAACGCGGGAAGGACUCCCAGUCAGCCGCCCCUCUCUGGCUACAAGACCCCGAACAAGAGAAACCUGUAACAGGGGCUCUGCGGAGAUCUGGAUCCCACCCACCAACCACAUGGGCACCUGGGGGGCUGCCCCUCGGGGCAUUAUCAGCCAGUGGGAAGGGGGUUGACGUUCCUCUGCGGCCCAUGAAUCCUGGAGGGCUGCCCGAGGGGCCACCGGGGUCCAUCCACUUAUUCUUCGGUUGUUAAGCGCCAGACAGGAGAGAACCGCUAGAGAGGAGUGUGCUAAGACCCUAUUACCCACUAAAACUCCAUUUUCAUCUUUUGCGUCCUGGAUGACUAGUCUCCACAUUCCUGGCCUUUCUGGUUUCUCAGGAGAACCUUCUGACCCAACUCUUCCCACAUCGAAAGAGUUUCCUAGUCUUUUGUUCUACUACUAGCCGACAUAGAAAGCACCUGUCAUGUGCCAGUGUCAAAUACUGCGCUAGGAACUGGGAACUCAAGGCACAGGAGCCUGGCUUUUGCGCAGGGCGCUCACAGGCCGGUGGGUGCAAACCCUGAAGGACACACAGCCUGUCCCUUUAGCGCCCAUCGCUUCUGGUGUGAGCUCCCGCUAAGGGUGGGUGAGUACUGGGGUGGGCUUCCAGAAGAGGCCUCCUUUGAGCCGAAUCUGCAGAGACCAAGUGUCUAUGAGAACUGCUCAAGAGUGCUUUGCACAUUCUCCUCCACAAAGGUCGAGGCUCCCACUGCGCCCAGGAAUGCGCCUCGUCAGACAUUAGGCGCCCCUUGAUUUUGUGUUUGCAUCUCACGCGGUCCUCUAGCUGACAAGUGCAUCAGAAGAGUCACAGUGGCUGUCACAAGCCAGAGACUCGCAGAGGACAGGAACGCGGGAAAUCUAGGCAAUUACCUCCAGCAUAUACCAAGAGCUAUUGCGAGGAUCAGAUCCCUUUAAAAAUGGUGACGAGACAGGAGAGGGCGGCUCCUCUAGAGCUUUCCGGAACGUCUUUACCUCUGUGUCCUUUAUACCUUUUAUCUCCCCCAAACAAGGUCCUUAGUCAGUUUCUCCUUCUAUUUCCCCAUCUUCCUCCCCCACCUCCCUGUGUAGUUCUAGGGGGAAAAAAUGUGUUGUUUUCCUUUUUUUCUGAUGCUUCUAAUAUUAAAUGCGUCUAUUUUCCCACUCUCCAUUGUCUUGAGGUCUUCCCCUACCCACCCUGCCUAGUUCUGUCACGUCCCUUCUUUCCCUGUAUCACAACAAUGUUCUCCCUUUCUCACCUUUGUUUCUCUUCAUACUUGUUUCUCUCUCUGUGUCUCUCUCAUUCUCUUCCCUUCCAAAUGUAGUAUUUGGAGACUGUAAUAUCGAUUGAGGCAGACAAUAGAAAACUGUCGAACCUCCACUGUAAAUUCAUUCUUAAUCCUAUGAAAAAAUGCAUCCUGAAACGUGUUGCAUGCACAGUGAGACAAAAACCUGUGUCUUUAGGUUUCCUGCGAUCUAGCUUGGAGGCGGGUUGGGGGGGUGUGGAGGGAAGUGCUGGAGAAAUUAUCCCAUUAUUGACUGAGCAGCAAAGAAUUUUCAAGAACAGUGAUUCUCCUAGAAAAAGUAUUGCUGCUGCCAUUUCAAUGCAAAAUUUGGCUUUUGAGUAAAAGGCUUAGGUUUUUAUCUUCCGGGGAGAAAAAAAAAACCCAAAAG